AUUAAAUGUUAUAAAAAGUAGAAAAUGUUGUAGUGUGAGUGAAAAAUUUCAAAAUAAUUAUACUUGCUCAUUUACACUUUUUUUUAAUCGAAAAUUGGAGUUUGCAUUAGUUAUCAGUUCACAAUAUAUAUAAUGGACAAAGACAGACUUUUCUCUUAGGUUCCUUUUAGUAUGUCCAAUUUGAUGCAAGUCACCGCUAGUUUAUAAUGAAGGAAAGUCACUACCCGGCAAAGAGUAACUUCAUGUGAACAGCUAGUUGAAAAGCAGUAUAUUUUAAUCUCUACCCACUAUAUGGCACAUGAUUUCAAUAACUGUCACAAUCCUAGUUACUGAGAAGUAUUGAAAGGAUGUCCACUUGUGAGAAUGCUAGAGUGGAAUGCAGUUGUUACUCAAUAGUGAUAAAGGUGAAUAAAAGCAGUACAAAUUAUCAGCACAUUGUAUAUAAAAUAAUUUAUUCACUAGUGUGAUUAGGUAUCACGGUUAUUUUAAGAACAGAUAGUUUGAGGACCCAAUUAAGACAAAUUAGGUAUCAUGAAAUUUUCAACAUUUUCCACGAAUCAGGUAUCAUGAUGAUAUAAAAUCGACCAUUGACAGGACAGGCAAAGAAAUCUCAGCAUUGGCAUGUUUCGACAAAUGAAGAGUAGCAUAAUAUGCAAUGAACAAAAUGCUUUGCCUUUUUCUAGGACAAUCUACUAAUGCUAUAUUAAUUUAAAUUAAAUACACAUAGAACUUACCACUCCUGUAGUCGCAACCCUUGUCGCAAUUCCUUCAAAAUUCCUCUAAACUGCAAAAAAUAAUGGAAAGGAGAAAAAGACAAUAAAGUAGAUUAAAUUUAAGUAGUAUACAUCUUUUACACAUCAUUUCACAUGCACGCCGAAUUCAUUUUUCCAUCAUGUGCUUGACAAAAUAGCAGGACAAUGUCAAGUACGUGUUGUGCAUGCUAAUCAAAUUAUCCAAAAGUAAAANAAAAAAAAC
rnacentral:lncRNA from 1 species